AACCUUAUGGACCUGCGGGCGUAUACCUGCGGAGGGAUCAUUAUAGAGUUUUUUAUACCCUUUUAUAAAGGGUAAGAAACCUCCAACCCUUUGUUUUUUGACAUUUGUUGCUUUGGUAGGUUUUUAUUUUAACCUACCAGAGGAAAUUAAAACUCUGAAUAUUUUUUUGUUGUCCGAGUUUAUAAAAAAAAUUAAAAAAACUUUCAACAAUGGAUCU
rnacentral:misc_RNA from 1 species